GGGUUGUGAGGUUAAGCGACCAAGCGUACACGGUGGAUGCCCUGGCAGUCAGAGGCGAUGAAGGACGUGCUAAUCUGCGAAAAGCGCCGGUAAGGUGAUAUGAACCGUUAUAACCGGCGAUGUCCGAAUGGGGAAACCCAGUGUGACUCGUCACACUAUCAUUAACUGAAUCCAUAGGUUAAUGAGGCGAACCGGGGGAACUGAAACAUCUAAGUACCCCGAGGAAAAGAAAUCAACCGAGAUUCCCCCAGUAGCGGCGAGCGAACGGGGAGGAGCCCAGAGCCUGAAUCAGCAUGUGUGUUAGUGGAAGCGUCUGGAAAGGCGCGCGAUACAGGGUGACAGCCCCGU
rnacentral:rRNA from 1 species